rnacentral:rRNA from 1 species
GAUGAACGCUGGCGGCGUGCCUCAAACAUGCAAGUCGAGCGGGGCUAUGUAAUAUCGCAAGGUAGAACAUAGCCUAGCGGCGAACGGGUGAGUAACACGUGGGUAACCUGCCUGGAAGACAGGGAUAACGAUUCGAAAGGGUCGCUAAUACCUGAUAAUAUCCUUUCAUCGCAUGGUGAUAGGAAGAAAGGGGAAACCCGCUUUCAGAUGGGCCCGCGUCCCAUCAGCUAGUUGGUAAGGUAAAGGCUUACCAAGGCGACGACGGGUAGCCGGUCUGAGAGGAUGUACGGCCACACUGGGACUGAGAUACGGCCCAGACUCCUACGGGAGGCAGCAGUUGGGAAUCUUAGGCAAUGGACGAAAGUCUGACCUAGCGACGCCGCGUGAGGGAAGAAGGCCUUCGGUUGUAAACCUCUGUCAUGGGGAAGAAGUAAGUGACGGUACCCAAGAGGAAGCCCCUGCUAACUACGUG